CCGUGUACGUACAAGCAGUGGGAGCACAGGUUUACCUGUGUGACUGCGUACCUUUUGUAUAAUGGGUCAGCGACUUAUAUUCUGUAGCAAGGUUAACCGUAUAGGGGAGCCGUAGGGAAACCGAGUCUUAACCGGGCGUUAAGUUGCAGGGUAUAGACCCGAAACCCGGUGAUCUAGCCAUGGGCAGGUUGAAGGUUGGGUAACACUAACUGGAGGACCGAACCGACUAAUGUUGAAAAAUUAGCGGAUGACCUGUGGCUGGGGGUGAAAGGCCAAUCAAACCGGGAGAUAGCUGGUUCUCCCCGAAAGCUAUUUAGGUAGCGCCUCGUGAAUUCAUCUCCGGGGGUAGAGCACUGUUUCGGCUAGGGGGCCAUCCCGGCUUACCAACCCGAUGCAAACUGCGAAUACCGGAGAAUGUUAUCACGGGAGACACACGGCGGGUGCUAACGUCCGUCGUGAAGAGGGAAACAACCCAGACCGCCAGCUAAGGUCCCAAAGUCAUGGUUAAGUGGGAAACGAUGUGGGAAGGCCCAGACAGCCAGGAUGUUGGCUUAGAAGCAGCCAUCAUUUAAAGAAAGCGUAAUAGCUCACUGGUCGAGUCGGCCUGCGCGGAAGAUGUAACGGGGCUAAACCAU
rnacentral:rRNA from 1 species